UACAGAGGCCUCAAGCGUUAUCCGGAUUUAUUGGGCGUAAAGCGUGUGUAGGUUGGUUGAUUAGUCAGAUGUUAAAGCCCGGGGCUCAACUCCGGACCAGCAUUUGAAACGGUCAGCCUAGAGUAUGUGAGAGAUCGAGUGGAAUUUAUGGUGUAGUAGUGAAAUGCGUUGAUAUCAUAAGGAACACCCAAGGCGAAGGCAACUGACUUGGCACAUUACUGACACUGAGACACGAAAGCGUGGGGAGCGAAUAGGAUUAGAUACCCGGGUAGU
rnacentral:rRNA from 1 species